CCAAUAACUGCAACAGUGUGGCUUCGUGGUCGUGCGGCUAAGGUCAUCAAGCCUUUAGUCGCAUCGUGCUAAGGAGCGCGGGUUCGAUUCCCGCCGCAGCUGUCAGGGAAAGUUUUCGGCUGUGCCACUGGGCGUUGCAUGCUAGUCCGUUGUCUAGUGUCGUGCUUCCUUCAAAGAGCAAAAUAGCUCACUGGAAGCAUUAAACGUGUCUGUGUCUUCUCUUCUUUGAAACAAAAUCAGACGAAAGAACAGCCUAUUAUAAAAGAAGGAAUAAUAUCUAUUAUAUGUGUUUUCUUUGAAGGAUAAUGUUAUUAUUAAUUAAAAUUUGAGAUUUUAUGAUUAUUUUUAAAAUAUUUUAAUUUUAAUUUUGUUUUCUUGGAUAAUUCUUUGUUUCCGUGUAAUUUCAAAGUAUUGCUGUGUACAUUCGAAAUGCAAACUUGAAAUGCGGAAACACCAAAUGCGGUAAGAUUUUCAAACAAGUAACCCGAUGUCAGCGGGAGCUUUUGCAUCCUACACAGCAAAAAAUAUUGUAAUCCGCCUCGAUGUAAUUGGACCUAUGUAACAAAAAACCUAUGUAAUCACUUUUUUCAGAUGUACUAUCACACCGAUUUUGCGUAGAAUUACAUCUGGCUCAACAUUACACAGAAAAACCUUAACCAUUCUCGUUUCCGUUGUAUUUGUGUAAUAUUCACAUCAAAAUAAUGUGAAUAUUACACAUAAACAACUGCAACCAAGUGGUUGCGAUGACGCUGUGUAAAAUUACACAGAAUCAAUGCCAUAUCGCAUCCUCUUAUGAUGUGAUAUGACAUCUCGCAACACUGCCCUGAUUGUUGCGAUCGACCACGCGCAGACAAGCAAGCUGCCAUGUUUGUUUUUCGCGUUUUGCGGUCGUCGAGUCCGUCGGGUCGAGUGUUUUUCCUGAUUUUUCCAAUAAUUAUUGGAGUUACUCUUGCUCAGGUAAAUCCAACUAGAGUUUUGCGGUACCGACGACGCGGUACUAAAAACCUGCCGCAACCCUCUACUCGACCAAUAAUCGUCUAUUGAUGGCCAACCCGGAGAGAAAAUCAUUGUUAAGCUGCUCCUGUUUUGUCCUGGCCCUCGAAAUGGCCAAUUAUGACUUCUUCCGCGACAAUUUCAUGGUCAUUCGUAGAUUUCAUCGUGGAAAAAUACCCCGUAAAAACACCAUCGACGCCACGACAGAAGAAAUUGUUUUUCGUGAUAGUUGCCAAACCGGUCCCCUGAGCUGGUAGUGAUGGUCAUGAUCCAGCGCGCCAUAUGUACGUUGUCCAGCAAUACCGUUAGAUGCGCAAAGCAUUCCGCCGAGCAGAUUCUGCAGGAUGGUGAAUUUCACGUUGCUCCGGAAGACUACGAAGAGGUCGGCUUGAAUACCGAAAUGGCCUGAAUAAGGGUACCUACAGAGGAUUCCAUUCAUCGUCCUUAUCCAUUUGCAGUGGUACAGGAAGCGAUCUUCUCCGGCGAUGCCAAGAUCAUCACCUCCUGGAGGUCCAGAAGUGCCACAUCAAGUGAUUGUCGCACUCCUCGCAGCUGUUGCAGCACCACCAGGACACGCCAGACGUCUACGUUGAGAUGGGAAUUUACCAGCUGGGAACCGUCGAUGUCUCGUGUCUGCCCAAGCCAAGGCCCAAGCGAUAUCAACAAAGUGCACAAACGAGGGUAAAACGUAUACGGAUCGACACCACGCUGCUGGGGUUUGAUAACACCUAGCUGCGCGGAAAUACGAGCUACAUUUUUAAAGACCAGUUUGAUUUCUAAUGGAACGAAUUCGGAUUUUACGGAUGGUGUAGUGAGAAGGAAGAGAGAACAUCAACAGGUACGAGUGCAAGGCGUUCAGAGGGAGCAAUGUCGUUUAUAGAGCCCGUCCUCAUGUGUCGUGACUGGAACCCUUUGUCACCAUGCAGCUUCCGCGGGAUUCCCCGGUGAGAUAGAGAUCCUGUUCUUCCACGUGUUGAACGCGGCCCUCUAACAUUUGGAAAUGCGUUCGCGAAAAAAGCGCAGAUGGCGAACAUCAGCAUUCUGCAAGAGAGCGAGGAGCGCACCUCCAUUAACGACAUUAAUUAUUGUUUUAACGUGCUGGCCGAGUAGGUGUAUGGUAACGAUGCCUGUAAUUUAAAGCUAAAAUUAAUUAUGUAUUUUAUGUACAAUUAGAUGAAAUUGUGUAUUUUCGACAGUUUUAGAUCUCUUCGUCAUGGGUUUUUUUUUUGAAAGCUUUUGAGUUGGCCUCAAAUCCUUCCCAACCAAGCUGAAUUAGACGACCAAGUUUCAGGAAAUUUGGUCGACAAAAAACCCAUGACGAAGAGAACAAAUCUGGCGAUCAUACCCAUCUGCCAUCUUCACCCAAUGUAUAUUUUUGAAAAAAUAAAAUAAAUAUAGGUACCAUAUUCGUACCGCGUUGUAACCAUUCUUCAUUUAUUUACCAUCGACUACUCUCUCAAUGGCUGAUUAAAUUGGGUUUUAUCCUUUUUUGACUUGAAUUUAGUAUAGUUCUUGCAAUUCCAACAACUAUACUAAAUUCUGAACGAAAAAGGUAAAAAUCCAAUUUAAUCAACGAUUUAGGGAGCUUUUGCAAUAGGUUUAGUUUACAUCGCCUCCAUUACAUCGUGGAAAGUACGUCGAAUUUAUUUACAUCGCGAAAAUUACAUCGGAUCUGUUUAUUACAUCAACAGCCGUCGAGUACAUCGGGCUGUGUAAUAUUAAUCGAUCGAUGUAACGACCUGG